rnacentral:rRNA from 1 species
GAUGAACGCUAGCGGCAGGCUUAACACAUGCAAGUCGAGGGGUAUAUAGUUUUCGGAUUAUAGAGACCAGCAAACGGGUGCGGAACACGUACGCAAUCUGCCUCUGUCUUGGGGAUAGCCCAUAGAAAUGUGGAUUAAUACCCAAUAGUAUUAUAGAGUGGCAUCACUUAGUAAUUAAAGGAUUUAUUGGACAGAGAUGAGCGUGCGUCCCAUUAGCUAGUUGGUGCGGUAACGGCGUACCAAGGCGACGAUGGGUAGCUGGUGUGAGAGCACGACCAGCCACACGGGCACUGAGACACGGGCCCGACUCCUACGGGAGGCAGCAGUGAGGAAUAUUGGUCAAUGGGCGGAAGCCUGAACCAGCCAUGCCGCGUGAAGGAUGAAGGCGUUCUGCGUUGUAAACUUCUUUAUUUGGGUAAGAAAAAGUUUGUAGGUUUCUACUUGCAACCGACGGUACCAGAUGAAUAAGCACCGGCUAACUCCGUGCCAGCAGCCGCGGUAAU